rnacentral:rRNA from 1 species
AUUGAACGCUGGCGGCAUGCCUUACACAUGCAAGUCGAACGGCAGCACGGGAGCAAUCCUGGUGGCGAGUGGCGAACGGGUGAGUAAUAUAUCGGAACGUGCCCAGUCGUGGGGAUAACGUAGCGAAAGCUACGCUAAUACCGCAUACGAUCUAUGGAUGAAAGCGGGGGAUCGCAAGACCUCGCGCGAUUGGAGCGGCCGAUAUCAGAUUAGGUAGUUGGUGAGGUAAAGGCUCACCAAGCCGACGAUCUGUAGCUGGUCUGAGAGGACGACCAGCCACACUGGGACUGGAGACACGGCCCAGACCUCCGUAACGGGAGGCAGCAGGU